CUUUUUACUGGUCAAGUUUGAAAAAUCAAAUACAUUUGAGUUGAUGACGACGGCUGCUCAGCAAGAUUACUCGGUCUUUCAAUUAUUAUUUUGAACUAAUUUGCGAUGUGACAUGUAGCCUAAACGAAGGAGAACAGAAGAUGUGAACACACAGAAGACGCUCAGACUGGAUGCGUGAGAUCCUGCAAUAUUGGCGAUCAGCACUGGAAGAAGAUUUUUGGGGGGAGAGCAGGCACCCAACAGAGACAAAUCCACCACGGCAUGAUUAUCAACUUCAUUAUUGACAAAGAAAGGAGAACAUGUCACCAUCAUGAGCCCUUUAUUUAGUUCACGGAAGAACAUCAAGGGAAAGACCCUCAGACGUGUCAUAACAGGAUAAAUGUGGCUACAGGACGCAUCACCCCACCCCAUCCCAGAUUGACCAAGGAUCCAGAUGAGUACUGGCAAUUUGGUGGAGGAUUGCUCUUUAUCUACUACAUUGUACUGUCACUUCCGAGGCUCUUAAGAAGACAACACAGAUCAACUGGCAAGGAACUGAGAGGGAACUCUCAAAAUAGUCCAGGACAAGAGAUGGAGGAGGAGAGUGUCUAGAUGCGCAAAUGACUGUCUGCAGUGUAAGCUGUACUGAUAAAUGUACUGUAUAGUUGCUGCUUCUUCUAACUGUCACCAAUUUAUAUCCUGUUCAAAUGUUCAGUAAAGACUGGGUCAAAUACAGGUUCAAAAUAUGUAUUUUAACAAAUAGGUAUUAAAUAGAUACUCUUUAAUCUGACAUAAAUCUGCUUCUUUAAAUAUUGUCCCUGGAAUUUCAGAAUAUAGCAUAAUAUGAUGAUGAGUAAUUUUAAUAAAAUUGAAAAUAUUUCAAUA